GGAUUAUGAAUUAUUAUGUAAAUUUUUUAAGUUUUUGAGAUUUUUUUUUUAUUGUUAUGUUACUUUCAUGCGAAAAUUCUAUUGAAUAUUUCAUUUUAAAAAAAUUAAAAAAAAAAAAACCAGAACCCCAACAGUUUACUUAAUAUUUGUUUUCGACACAACUAUACUUGAAAAAAAAACCACCUUAUCGCACAGAUAUUAAAUUAAAUUUACAUCUAUAAGUUUGUUUGGAUCGCCAUGUGGCAAAAUAUCUGCUUCGGCAAGGCUACUCAUUUUAAAGUAUCAAAUGGAAGAUCCCCUAGUUAGAUAAUGUCGCCAGUGCGGCGCAAUCAUAUCUCCCUUAUAUCUUUCAAUGUUUUUAGUUUGAUUAUUUAACAUGUGCAUUGAUGUAACAAUCACCUGUGUCGCUUAAAUAGAAUAAUAAUACACCACAACAUUUUUUUUUUUUAAUUGUACCCCUUCAAGGUCUUGCUGAAAUAAAGAAUCCAAAUCAUAUUAAAACAUAUUACGAUAUACUUAAUUAUUGAUUAAGGAAUGUAUCACACUCACGCA
rnacentral:lncRNA from 1 species